rnacentral:misc_RNA from 1 species
GGAAGUAAAAGCGUAACAAGGUUUCCGUAGGUGAACCUGCGGAAGGAUCAUUAUUGAAUGAAACACUUCUGGCUUUAUGCUGUUGUGCUGGCCCUUUGGGCAAUGUGCACACGGCUCUGGUCACUUGUUUCUUCUGUUCCACCUGUGCACUGCCUGUAGACACGCUGUGUCUAUGAUAUUUGUUAACACACAACAAUGUUAGUUGGCAUGUUAUAUAUAAUAAUAAAAUAUACAACUUUCAACAACGGAUCUCUUGGCUCUC